rfam:Angomonas deanei Cont11123, whole genome shotgun sequence.
CAACCCUUGUUAAUAGCAAACGGUCUCCUAAAGUCAUUUCCGCAAACCGCUUGUCUACACCGGGGGUGAGAAC